rnacentral:ncRNA from 1 species
AAAACGGUUCCUUUAGGAACCAACAAAUAUGUAAAAGAAUUCAAA